AGAGAGAGACAUGCGCGCAUAUCAAUAAGCGGAGGAAAAGAAACUAACAAGGAUUCCCCUAGUAACGGCGAGUGAAGCGGGAAGAGCUCAAAUUUGAAAUCUUAAAGGGUUUCCCUUUACGAAUUGUAGUUUAAAGAAGUGUUUUCUGUUGAGGUUUUGGUAAAAGUUCUUUGGAAUAGGACAUCAUAGAGGGUGAGAAUCCCGUAUUUGACCCUUACUUUCAACUUUGUGAUACACUUUCAAAGAGUCGGAUUGUUUGGGAAUGCAGUCCAAAAUGGGUGGUAAAUUUCAUCUAAAGCUAAAUAUUGGCGAGAGACCGAUAGCGAACAAGUACCGUGAGGGAAAGAUGAAAAGAACUUUGAAAAGAGAGUUAAACAGUACGUGAAAUUGUCAAAAGGGAAGCGUUUGACACCAGUGUUGUUUUUCUGAAAAUCAAUUAAAGAACUGUUUAUGCUAAGUUGUUUAGACUUUAUCAGCUAACUGUUUAGUUUUGAGCUUUUCUUUAAUGCACUUUUCAGUUAACAAGUCAACAUCAAUUUCUUUUGCUGUAAAAAAGCUUGAGGAAGGUGGCUUGAGAUUCGUCUUAAGUGUUUAUAGCCUCUUGCCUAUGCAGUCGGAGAGAUUGAGGUCUGCAGCGUAGAUCCUUCGGGGCUAAAUGCAUUUGUGCUAAGUUAUAACAUUUUAUAGACAACUUGUUGACUAUGAUCAGUCAUGUAGCUUACUCGCUUAUGCUAUUUUACCUACGCUUAGGAUGUUGAUGUGAUACUGCGAGCA
rnacentral:rRNA from 1 species